rnacentral:sRNA from 1 species
CACCAGCUGUUGAACAUAUAUUACUAAUAUAAAAGGUGUGGGUGAUAGUAAUUUUUCCCUAUAGUGUUGUGAGAAUUAAUCGAACUCCUUGUAAACCUCUUGUGUUUUAUUACUUAUCAGGAACAUUGGGUAGUAGUAGCCAUUGUAAUUGUUUCAUUAAAUAAAGUUUGUAGAGUUGUGCAGAAUGGAGUUUAUCAAAGCUAAAUAGGUGAAACUACACAUAACUAAAUUGUAUAAUAAGAUUUAUCUUAUAAAAUU